AUCCCAUUACGCUCCUGAAAGGCACCAACAUCCCCAACACAUAUCCCCCAUGCUGCACCACCCCAUUCUACCAAUCACAGCAAAACAAGCAACGAAAAUGGCCGACAUCAUAGGACAACGGAAGCAGAAGAAAAAGUCAAACUACCAACACCACCAUGACAGAAUGCUGGCAAAAUUAGGCUGAAAAACAGGGAGAGGAGGAGAGGUUGCUGUUGACUCUGACUCCCUCUCCUCCGUAUCUCCUCUCCCCUUCUCCCCUCCCUCGCUUCAUCCUCAGCUGCCUUCCCCAUUCUCCUGUACCGCGUGACGCAGCCCACGCCACCAUCUUAGGACGACGCUCGCUGGCAUGAAAUGGAAGUGAGGACCAGAGAGAGCAGGCAAAUAAUGGUCCAGAACACUGGGAGAGGGCAGAAAUGACAGCGAGCAGUAAUCCAUUUGGAGAAGAGAAGUUGCCCACAAACUACCAACCCAUCCCUAGUAUUUGCAAUGGAACAGGCCCAUUACAACAAUGUUUGUCCACUACACUCCGACUUGUGCCACAACAUUUGAGCAUCAGAGCACUUUAGCUGCCUCUGACAUGUGGUUGGACCUCUGGCCUGGGUUUUGUUAUCCAACAAGGGCCAAUCAGGAUUGGUUUUCUUUCCUUUCAUUAAGCCAAUAAGAAAGUGGGGUGGUGGCAUGGAAAACAAGAGUAAAUAUCUCAAGAUCCAAGAUGAACAGAGAAGCACUGAUUCUUGGAUACACUGUGCUAUGAAUGAGAAACAUAAUAUAAUAAUAAUAUAUCCCAUUUAGCAGACGCUUUUGUCCAAAGCGACUUACAAGUCGGCUGGGGCCACUACUUUUACAUAUGGGUGGCCCUAGUGGGAAUCGAACCCACGACGCUUGGCGUUGCAAGCGCCAUGCUCUACCGACUGAGCCACACAUGACAUGUGAUGUGUACCUACAGUAUUUGCUUGCAGCCUCAAUAACAUCUACACUGAGUGUCCAAAACAUUAAGAACAUCUGCUCUUUCCAUGACAUAGACUGACCAGGUGAAUCCAGGUGAAAGCUAUGAUCCCUUAAUGAUGUCACUUGUUAAAUCCACUUCAAAUCAGUGUAGAUGAAGGGGAGGAGACAGGUUAAAUAAGGAUUUUUAAGCCUUGAGACAAUUGAGACAUGGAUUGUGUCUGUGCCAUUCAGAGGUUGGAUGGGCAAGACACAAAAAUGUAAGUGCCUUUGAACAGGGUAUGGUAGUAGGUGCCAGGCACACUGGUUUGUGUCAAGAACUGCAACACUGCUGGGUUUUUCACCCUCAACAGUUCCCCGUGUGUAUCAAGAAUGGUCCACUAGCCAAAGGACAUUCAGUCAACUUGACACAACGGUGGGAAGUUUUGGAGUCAACAUAGGCCAGCAUCCCUGUUGAACGCUCUUCAACACCUUGUAGAGUCCAAGCCCCAACGAAUUGAGGCUGCAACUCAAUAGUAGGAAGGUGUCCUUAAAUGUUUUGUACACUCAGUGUGUGUUACAUGUGAGGAAAUGUUCCUUGCAAUACAGAUUAUUAGGUGCAAACAUUUCUAUAAUAGCAUAGAGCACUUUACUACUACUACUACUACUACUACUACUUUAAUUUAAAGUAAAUAACAAUGUAUGAAUAGAGUCCAUGGUGUUUCAUGGGAAUGUUGUAUAACAAGCUAUAUAAAUAACAUAGACCUACCUAGAAUUUUUUUGCCCAUUUUUGUUUUUAUAUUUUAUUGUUUACUAGUUGCUAUGACUGACAGACACAUGAAUGUGAGACCCACGGCAGCAGUGAAGAAUACUGCACUGCGAUUGGACGGCUCCGUGUGUCAUAUGACACAGAGGCGAAUAGGAGAGCUGUUGUCUUUAUACUCUAUGCAACUGUUUUUGGCCUGCUACCAAAUAUAUUGGGCAAGCCUUCAACAGGAUUAUUUUUGGGCAAACAAUCUCAUGAAAUAUUACACUGUUUGUUCAGUUCUCUCUUACCAUGUAGUUUGUUGUUGUGUGUGUGUGUGUGUGUGUGUGUGUGUGUGUGUGUGUGUGUGUGUGUGUGUGUGUGUGUGUGUGUGUGUGUGUGUGUGUGUGUGUGUGCGUGUGAAAGAAGGAAAGAGUGAACGUUAGAGAGAAAGUUAGACAUUACAGAUGAACAUAACACAUUUGAUUUAUAAAACAAAUUGUGGAAAGACAUUUUAGUUUGCAUUUGUCAAUAACAGAGUUGAAUAUGCUGGCCCUAAGCCUCUGCCAACGCAAAUCAGUGUAGGAAUUACACAUCUAAUAUUCCUGAUGGCAGAGCUCUGUUUGAUCAGCAGUGUGGUUUAUAGGGAGUAAGCUAGGCUGCACGGACAGAACAUUCUAAACCACUUAAUCUUUCCAAGUAGGCUUUGAAUGCAGUAGCCUGGCUUUCCCUAGCAAACCACGUCAGCGUAAUACAAGGUACUUUAGCGUAAGACAUGAUAAAAACAGAGAAUUCAAAUACUUCCUUAAUUUCCUGUCCCUUCACAUUAUCGCACAGAUACACACACACGCAAGCAAAUGCAAUAAUUGCAAGCACUAUCAUAGACUAGUUUGUUUUAUAUACAUUUUCAGGAAGUGGCACAUUUUUAUUCUAAUUGAUAAUGUAUGCAAAUCUUUUAAAUAUUCAUUUUAACAAUCUAUUCAGCGCUUGUGCAAUUGAGUUGAAGGAGACUAUCUUGGUCUGAUUUUGUAAAUGUAUUAUUUUGAUCAUCUUGAGCAUCACAAUGCUAUAUUAUUACAUCUGCCUGGAUAAGCUUGAAAUUGAAAAAACAUUUUUAAUCCGUAACUAAAAGUCACUUCAGGGAUGGCUAAAACCAGUUUAUCCGCAUUUAAUCAACAAAUUGUGGUCGCUGAAAUGUUUAAAUAAUUAUUUGUUUCUUGUUUUGUUUUGCACCGAGAUGAAAUGUCUAUUCAGAUAUUUUGAAGCAACCGAUGUUGUUUGUGUUAUGUAAUCUAGUGUGUAUUAUGUAAUGCUAGAUUGCACUGAAUGAACCACGUGCCUUUGUAUGAAAAACAAACUUUGUCCUGUCAUGGAUUAGUAAUAAAAGUUUACAUUGAA